GUAUACACUCCAAGAAAUAUUAUAGUCCAUUAGAACAUAAUGCAUUACUCAUACACGGGGUUUUGUUCAGCCACAUUAAUACAACUCGUGUUUUGGUGUUCUAAAUUGCUUCUUCUAUCUGUGUACAUAACAGGUGUUUCUGAUUCCGUUCCUCUACAUAGACAGUCAAGUAUGCACACACUUAGUAUGUAUUGCCGUAUGCACAUACUUCAGAUAACAUCGACAGAUUGGUCCACGUGAACAUUCGAGAAAACCUUGAUAGCCUGCAAGAAAUACUAUGGCGCAACACAAAAAGUAAACAACCAACCCCGAAAGGCAUUUUGAUCACGUGCAUUACUCCAACUGAAGUUUUGAUUUUGGUUCUUUAGUUUUCAAAAUUUACAAUCCUAUUGUAUAGUAUAUACUAAGAAUAUAGUAACUUAGGCCAAGAAAAUAAUUUUGGAAAAUUAUACACUUGCACUCACCUUUGAGUUACCUAUUUUCUAUUUCUACUAUACCAACUCGUACAUGUUCACAUCAUGUACCAUAUACGAUCCCGCCAAGAAUUUCAAAUCCUUUCUACCAAUUCUUCACGAUACAUCUUAAUUUGAUUUAGAAACACACAUCUAUAACAUUAAUGAAGCUACGACAUCAUGUUACAAAAAGGAAAUGAAUACGUGAGUUGCAAGCUAUAACAUGAUAACUACAAAAAAUGAUAAAUAAUCAGCGGCUAAUAUUAGUGCUGGCUAGCUGCACACACAAACAACCAUCUAAUUUGGAUGAUAUGUAUUGCAUUGUAACAUAAGUUGUCGGACAUAUCAUUGUCUGCACAUGGCUAGAAGUAGAACAGAUACUUACUUUGAUCAAACCGUCCUAAUCUCCAUCUCUCGAAUAUGUAUUAUCUCGCGGACGGUACACUAUACCUACUAGGAAAAAAGUAGAGAUAUAAAUGAACAGAAAAAGGUGCAUCAAGGCGUGAAUAAGGAAUAGGUUACAUUUGUCGGUAUCUAGAUAUUACAUGACGACGAUAUGCUCUAAAACUAUAUAUCAAGGCAAUGGAAAAAACAAUCAAAAGAAAGAUACAUACGCACAAGAAUCAAGAUCUAGUCUCUAAGAUGUUUACCACCGUACGUGCAUAAAGUUUAUAUCUUCCUUACCGCCGCUACGCACCAUAGUAUAGAUCUAGCCUCUUGGAUGUGUACGUGCUCUAGUGCAUCAAGUUUAUAACUUUACAUCUUCUUUCUUGCGACCAAUUUGCAUGCAUGGACUUGGUCCACUAAGCCAUCAACCGUGAUCUGCCAAGAGCUACUGAUGAUAGACUGCAUGCGGUGCACACUGAUUGUUAAUUGGAUCAAUCGGCAAGAGAACGUCGCGAUAAAAGAUGGAAUUAAUAAAAAGGGUUGGCUUUCCACUCUAAUCUAGGGGAAAGGAUCAUAUUAGGAGCCUAACUUUAGGUUGAAAAAUCAAUCUCGUGCGCUGGCCGACAGCCGUCGUGGGCAUGCAUGUGACCUAAUCUGGAGAAUAUGGAGAGAGGAUAUGGAAAUAGCCUUGACGUUAUCGACACGCACGUGGCAUUGAUGGAUAAUUGUUUUCAACUUUAGUAGAUUAGAUUAGACUAGUAAAAGGCCCGUGCGUUGCAACAGAUAUGCAAUCUAAUAUUACACUUGUGAAAACUAUAAAUAUUAUAACAAAAUAUUUUCAUCAUAAAUGUAAGAUGAAUAUUUAUCAGGAACCAUCUUCUUCGUAUACUGAAAUAAUAUUUCAGGUCUAUUUCUGAGUUUUGGGCUGUAUAUGCAGAUGAAACGGGAUGGUUACACACUAUGCAAUUAUACGGUCUGUAAUGGAUUCUCUGAACCCACACAGGUAAGAUGAGGAUUCCUUUUAAUACUUGCGUUUUCAGUAGCACUCUCUUCUCGUACAUUAAGAUUUCCCAGAUAUUUUCACACAUUGGCAAGCCGCCUUUUGCAUCGCUUACUCGAAUGCGCCAUCAUUUUUCAGCAAUCCGCAGAUGUAUCUCAGCCGGGCUAUCUGACUGGAGAACACUUCAAGGGAAACAGCAAUGGUGGCUGCCAGAUGAUCAUAGUACAAAUGCUAUUCACCAAGGGAGCCAGCAACAAUGGGUACAGCUAGAGAAGCAACCCUUAGCCUCGGCUAAUGUCAGCACACCCCACUUCUCGAAUCCUGGUUACCCAGCCGAGCAGCAGUACAGCAGCAGAGUCUUCCAACAAGACCAGAGGUGGCCACCAUUUUCAGGUGGGACGUGCUCAACGGAUCAGCACCAGCACCAGCACCACCACUAUCCCCAAAGCAGACAGGAUACACCAGGAGGGUCCGGCGAGAGAUACGCGGCCACCACAAGCAUGGGCACCGGCAGCUAUAGCCAGCGGCACCACGAGGCUCCUCGCCGGCAGAAGCGCGGCGGCAGGAGGACGUACCAGUGGGGGUUCCAGCACUAAGUUAAUUUGCGGUAGAGUGGCUGGCGUGUGUACCUCAAGAACUCGGCGACGCUGUCGUGGAUCACCCGCUCGAACAGCCCCAUCAAGAAGUCAACUCCGCCUGCAAAUUCCAAGAACAGUCAAGCUCAGGGCGAAGGCCGGAGGGAGCCGCCAAAAAAGGGCGCGCGGCCAGCACGGCUAUCAGGGCUGCGUUCUUGGCGGCGACGCUAAGCGCGGUCUGCCACCUCGGCNNNN
rnacentral:lncRNA from 1 species